rfam:Triticum aestivum genome assembly, contig: Triticum_aestivum_CS42_TGACv1_scaffold_605967_7DL
UGUAUACUCCCUCCGUCCAGAAAUACUUGUCGAAAAAAUGGAUGUAUGUAGAUGUAUUUUAGUUCUAGAUACAUUCAUUUGGAUUCAUUUUUGCGACAAGUAAUUUCGGACGAAGGGAGUAUAUC